rnacentral:rRNA from 1 species
UACGUAGGUGGCGAGCGUUAUCCGGAUUUAUUGGGUUUAAAGGGUGCGUAGGCGGGUUAUCAAGUCAGCGGUAAAAUCGUGGAGCUCAACUCCAUCCAGCCGUUGAAACUGAUGAUCUUGAGUGGGCGAGAAGUAUGCGGAAUGCGUGGUGUAGCGGUGAAAUGCAUAGAUAUCACGCAGAACUCCGAUUGCGAAGGCAGCAUACCGGCGCCCGACUGACGCUGAAGCACGAAAGCGUGGGUAUCGAACAGG